UGCUUGUCACAUGCAUGCACGUGAUCGGAAUUCCCACUAUCUUCCUGAGCUUCCUUCAGAAAUUGGUCUCGCUUCAAAGCUUGUAAAUUAUUGCCAAAAAAAAACAACACAACGCACUUUCUUUCAUUCGUCUUACUGCAACUGUUCAGAAUUUGGUGACUUUACCGGCUGAAGUUUGUGUUUGAGUAUAAAGUCUGUGGUUGUUGUCGUGAAGUUGGUGAACCUACACUACUGCUUGGUUAUAUAGUUUAUUAUGAGAACAGGAAUUGUUGGUAUAUUUGUUGGAAUUCAUCGCUUUGUGAUAUCAAUUAACCGUCAUCUAGGCGCCUGGUAAGAGCUUCUUCCAUAAUAAAUCUCUAACCAAACUAGUAACAUACUGAAUACAUUAACAAGACGCACUUUUGAGCGUUAAGAUGCUGGACAGGGGGGCUGUAGUCUGUAUUGUAAUACAUUUUGAAACCAAUUCCGUACUUUCAAUUUUUACC
rnacentral:lncRNA from 1 species